rnacentral:sRNA from 1 species
GGCACGCAGCCUUGCGCAAGCUCAACGACCUGGUGAAGAGGGCCCGGCUGGUGCGAAUGGAGUCUCUCUCUAUCACCCAGGCUGGAGAGCAGUGGCAUGAUCUCGGCUCACUGCAACCUCUGCCUCCCAGGUUAAAGUGAUUCUUGUGCCUCAGCUUUCCGAGUAGCUGGGACUACAGGCAGGUGCCACCACACCUGGCUAAUUUUUGUAUUUUUAGUAGAGAUGGGGUCUCAC